rnacentral:rRNA from 1 species
UACGUAGGGUGCAAGCGUUAAUCGGAAUUACUGGGCGUAAAGCGUGCGCAGGCGGCUUGCUAAGACAGGUGUGAAAGCCCCGGGCUUAACCUGGGAAUUGCAUGGGAAACUGGCAGGCUUGAGUGUGGCAGAGGAGGGUGGAAUUCCGCGUGUAGCGGUGAAAUGCGUAGAUAUCUGGAGGAACACCCGUGGCGAAAGCGAGUUACUGGGACGGUACUGACACUGAGACGCGAAAGCGUGGGGAGCGAACAGG